ACGGGUAUUAACAUGGAAAAAGUCGAACAGAUAGUAAACCACUUUGCAAUUAGUUUUACCAAUGAUUGAAUCCCAAGAUAUUAUGGAGCAAAUAUCACUGCUUGUACCACUAAUAUUAAGCAUAUAUUUAAGGCUAGAAAAAGUCACCCCUGCAAUAUACUUGCUGCAAAAACUGCUAAAAAGAUUCAACUUUAGUAGGAGAGGUUCAAUGUGAUACAAG
rnacentral:lncRNA from 1 species